AGAGUUUGAUCAUGGCUCAGGAUGAACGCUAGCGGCAGGCCUAAUACAUGCAAGUCAAGGGGCUCCGCAAGGGGCACCGGCGCACGGGUGCGUAACGCGUACAUAACCUACCCUGAAGAGGGGGAUAGCAUCGGGAAACUGGUGGUAAUACCCCAUGAGCUUAUGAGGUGGCAUUACCUUAUAAGGAAAGUUACAGCGCUUUGGGAUGGAUGUGCGUCCGAUUAGCUAGUUGGCGGGGUAACGGCCCACCAAGGCGACGAUCGGUAGGGGUUCUGAGAGGAUUAUCCCCCACACUGGUACUGAGACACGGACCAGACUCCUACGGGAGGCAGCAGUAAGGAAUAUUGGUCAAUGGACGCAAGUCUGAACCAGCCAUGCCGCGUGCAGGAUGACGGCCUUAUGGGUUGUAAACUGCUUUUAUACACCAAGAAAACUUUCACGUGUGGGAGCUUGACGGUAGUGUAUGAAUAAGCAUCGGCUAACUCCGUGCCAGCCGCCGCGGUG
rnacentral:rRNA from 1 species